GUCCCUGAUGCUCGGAACAUUUUCAAGAGAGAGCUCACGCCCCAGCUGCAUUCUUGUUGAUUUCAAGGCAUCCUGGCAAGAAAAGAUAAAUAAAGAGAAGUGUUCGAAGAUGUUUCAAUAACAGACAGAGGAAAGUUUCAACAGUACCUCAUAAUAGUAACUAGGCCGACAAACAUAAGGAACUUAUCCUUGGUAACUUACGAUAAAUUCCACAUGUGACUACACGAUAAAGAUUAUUCAAAGCCAUUUCCUCUUCUUUAACCAGUCCAAGAACCUGACCUACUUUGCACUCUAUUACGUUUGGCCGUCCGAAUUUCUAAUCGGGAUAUGACUGAAUAAGAUAUGAUAUGAAAUUCUAGGAUUUUUUUAUAUACUGUCCAUUGUUUGGUGAAUCAUAUUAUUAAAGUCGGAUAUGUAUCAUAUUGACACCUAAAUUUUGGCGACCCGUUUAUUCAUUUAUCGCAUUAAAAAUUAGGGAUCAAUUUUAACCCCUAAAAAAAAUAUUAGUUAAUUAAUUAAUUGCAUAACAUAUAGUUUAGAAGCAUUUUACAUUAUUCUUUUAUCACUUUUGCAUUUGAUCAGCGGCGGAUGAGCUUCACCUUUACGAGUUGACAAUUCGGUAUUUUCAUAAAGGAUUCAUAUUAUUCUUCAAAUAUUCGGUAAUGAAAUAUUAGGCGAUAUAUUAUAGAAAAGUGAAAGUUUAAGCAUGAAAUAUCAAGAAGAAUAUCACACGUGGGGGUAUUUUGAGCGAUAUAUUCUAUGUCUCAAGACAAGAAAUUUUUCGUAAUCAAAAGAGAUUUUGUGCGUGAGUUGAGAAAGGAAGUGAAAUAAUCCACGAAAAUCAAAGUUAUUCACCUGUAUAAGAGCCGCGUACGGAGAAGAUGAAAGGAGGAAGCCACACUAUUGAUACAUACGGCCAUACAAAGGGGAGCUUCUCUAGGGUUCGUCGAGGAAAGAAACACAAAAAAAGUCAAAAAAAAAAAAAAAGGGAAAGGAGAGAUUGGACGUGAGAACAGGGGGGCACAAGAGAAAAAGUGCGCAGAGGAAAAGAGAGAAGGGACGUGCAGCAGAGGGGGAAAGAGAAAAAAAAGAAAAAGAAAUAACUGAAAAGACUUCUACUGUUCAUCUUCUCCGAGGGUUUUGCUGCACUGCCGGUCCCUGCAUCGCUGGUCUUCGGUCUGCACCACCUCCGCUGGAACCCUUUGCCGGAGUCCCAAACCGGUGGUCAAGAUUUUCUUUUAUUCAAAAAAGAAAAAAAGAAAAGAAAAAUCGAAUUAGGUAGAUUUGCUUUAUUUUAUUAGGCUGGAUUAUUUUAUCUUAUUUUAUUUUUAUAUCUUGGUUUCUUUGUUUGAAAUAUUUCUCUAUUCAUAAUUGGAAAUCUCAAUAUGUCACUUGAUUCGCAACCGCGCCGUGAUGAAAUAAUUAAUCGAGUGUGAUUAAAAUUGAUAUUUUGAUCUUUAAGGCUUAAGAUCAAUUUAUCGAUUUUACUAGCGAAAUAUUAUUCCUUGAUCUGAACGAUGUGUGAUAUUUUGAUGAUUUUGAAUAAGUUGUCUUGUCUUAAUUGCUUUCUUUAUCUUGAGAUAUGUUUGAGUUAGAAUAUUGCAUGUUUUAGGGUUUACAUGUUUAGAAUAGGAAUUUUAUUUCAAAUUUAAAAAAAUUCAAAAAAAAAUCCAUUUAGGUUGCUAGAUUUUAAAUUGAGUUGCAUGUUUAAUUAUUUGGCAAUUAUAAAUUUCGAAAAUUAAUAAAACAAUCAAAAAUCAUCAUACACUUGUCAUGUAGAAUUAGGGCAUAUUUUGCAUGUCAUUGCAUAUUAGGGUUAAAUUGCACUUAGUUUAAUUUAGAUAAUUCUUUUUUUAUUAUUAUAAGUUUAGGCAUUUUUUAGAUAUAUUGCAUUUUAGGAUUAUUUAGGUUAAGAUAAUAUUUUAGUUUAAAUUAGGAUUUGGCCCAAUCUAAUUCCUAAUAUAAAUUAAAUAGGAUCUUAAUCUAGCUAGAUAAUUUUCACAUUUAACCUAAUUUCGAAUUUCAUGAAAAAUACAAAAAAAUGCCAUAGGUUGAAUUAGUUUUAUUAUUUAGGAUAAAAUGCAUUCUUUUAGGAAAAGGAAAAAAUGUCAUAUGCACGUCAUUAAGGUUAGAAUCAUUGAGAUGCAUGUCAUUUAGUAUUUUUGCUAGGCCCAUUUAAUUAGAAAUUACAUGUCAUUAGAAUUAGGUCAUUUAGUUAAUAUUGCAUUGCAUAUUGCAUGAUUUUCAUUAAAAAAGUGAAAACAAAAAAAAAAAGGAAUUGCGUGUUAAUUAGAAACCAUAUCUAGGGUUGUUGAUGUGGAUUUUAAUUUAACAUUGCAGAUGCUUUCGUUGCUUUGAGGUAAGUCCUGCAAUUUAUUUUCUGCUUUACUUGAGUAUUAAAUUGGUGGUUUGCGCACCUGCAUGAACACCUCACAUGUUAGGGAAUAGAUUUAAAAUCAAUCCAAACUACUUGCCAAACAUUUUUCAAAAUAAAAAGAAAGGUACCGAAAGGGCGUUAGAGAAUUCUAGCAUAAUCAAGUCCCCGUACCCAUAGUCUCUGGUUCGUUGGAGUAAAAUAAUUCUCCCGUUAUUUUACUUGGGUUUCUAAUUGACCCACCAAAAAUAGAUUAGUGGCGACUCCUAAUUGAAAAUGAAUUGCAUGUUAAGAAUUUGAACCUAAGUCGCGAAUUGGUAUGGGCUUGGAAGAGCCCGAGUUAAGUCUAGGCUUAACAAUCCAUUAGCCAAACCCUAGAUGAUUUAAACCCCGAAAAAAAUUGGUUGCGACAGCUUGGCGACUCCGCUGGGGACUUGAGUUGAAACUCUUAGUGGACUUAGGCCAAUUUUCUUUCUUUUGAAAAAUGUUUUUGUUUGGCAGUGAAGAUCCCAGGUAUGUCUUUAACAUUUAGGUGUUAAAUGUUUUUGCAGAUUGGGAGGUAUAAGGGGAGUAGUGAUUGCUAACCUUUAUCUUGCAGGUUGGAGUUGGGGAUGAAUGUUUUAAAUUCAAGUUAUUGAAGUGUUGCUUGACCUAAAUUGUUGUGCAUGUCUUGCAUUCAACACUACAUUAUUGCACACACAAACUGCCGCCGGACCUGGGCCGCACUAGGACGUUUAGGAUGGUAUUGAGUUGGAUACGACUUCGACCGCGAGGCCGCGUAGUAGAGGUUGCCCAACUCAAUCCCGAAAUUUUUUCUUGGUGUUAAGAAUGUUUACCUCUGCCCGCGAGGCUGUGUCGCAUUGGGGUAUCAUUCUUGACUGAGCCGGAGUUAGGAGGACUUGACUUAGUAUGCGAGGCUGCAACUAAGUCAUCCCACCCUUUUAACUCCACCUUGCUUAGCCUUUCUAGUUAGAAAUCGAACCUCACAUCUCAUGUGCAUGUCUAUGUGAUUGCCGUCGAUUUUUCUUGAUGAAGUAAGUUUUCUAUCCUUAUACCAUGCAAUUUAUUUUGUCAUGCUUUUGGUCUGUCCAUGACAAUAUGGGAUAGUCAUUUGAUCUAAUUCCUUUGUUAAUCAGAAAUAAAAUGAGGAAAUUGCCAUGCAAUGAACCAUUUGGAAAAUAAAAAACUUUGGUUAAUUUGUUUUCAGUUUAUGUUUAGGAAAUUUGAUCUUGCUAGGGUGUUUAUUUUUCUAGCUCUUUUUAGGAAUAACCCUUCUUGUACGAACUUUUCAUGAAUAAAAGAAAUGGAAAAAUCGAUUAGAUCAUUGUCAUGGAUUGACUUUCUAAUUACGCCUCAUGCUUACACAUUCCCAUUUAUUUCCUUUAGGUGAUCUCGCUCACCCAUCCGUACACGACCGAGAGCUAAAAUGGCGAAUCAAAAUGAGGUGCUGGACCAUAUCAUUGUCAAUAUAAACAAACGAAUUGCGUACCUCCAAAGUCAAGUCAAUGAAUUGUCCGCUACUGUGGCUUGUCUCAUCAAGCAAAAGGGGUGUGAUGACAUAGGUACUCUAUCUUCAAUGAGAAACUACGACUCAAAGAAGAGAGCCAAGAGGACUUUUGAACCGUCCUAUUUUCUUGAGGUGGCUGAAUUUGAUGCCACUAUGAAGAGACUAGUGAUAUAUCUAGAAGGAAUAAUCUCUGACCUAGAGGAUUUGUAUCACAAGAUCAAUGAGGGUGAAGAACUUAAGCACACAUAAUUCAUGAUCCUAAGUAGUUCGCUUUCCUUAUUCAAUUAAGGGCAUGCUUAGUUGCACCUUCUCUUGCGUGGGAAUUCUUAUUGCUUUUUAGAGAUUGGUAAAAAUUUCUCCUGUUUUGCUUUAGUGCUUGAAUAUCACAUUUUUCAUUCCAAUAAAUGUAAUUUGAUUGACGAAUAUCAAUAAAAUUACAAGUUUUGUUUUGAGGACAUGAUGGGGUAUGCCAAACCAGCCCGGUGACGAUAUCCAACAAUGAAAAGAAAAUAUCAUCCAAGGAGAAUUCUGAGGACUGGACUUCUUCAUGCUUCCUCGUCCAAAAUAUUCCUCAAAAAGAAAAAAAAAAUCAUUUUUGAAGCCAUUUCCAAAAGCAUGCAUUAGGUUACUUUUGUUUAUUUUUCUAACUCAUUUACUUUAUGUCUCAGAGCAUAACAGAGAGGCGUUUGAAAAUAAUGCGUCAAUUUCCAGUGAUAGCAGGCCCAUUGAUUUGGGAACAUACAUCCGAAGGAAAAAAGGCGUGGGGCAAGGGAUCAUUUCCUAGCUGAUCUUGAUUUGGGAACAUACAUCCAAAGACAUUAAGCACUACUUAUCCUCUUACUUGUCCCGAGCGAUUUUCUUGCACAUCAAUAAGAAACCGAGGGCAAGUCAAAAGGAGAUCAUCUAGAUUCCAAAGUGUAAUGUGUGACACAUCUCAUUACAAUUUGUGUGAGAUGUCAUUCUCAAAAGCCAAAUGAAGUUUCUCAUUUUCGUGAGAAAAUGAUGAAACAAGUCAAAAGAAGAUCAUCCGUCUUGAAUGAAAUGGAUAUAUUGCGUUCAUGAAUAUAAUUAAUUUCGGAAUUGACACUUUUGUUCUUUUCCUUGCAGAUGAAGAAUUGGGGUACUACAGAUUCUAGUAGUGACAUGACUGAGACAAAAUCUCAAUCCGAGCCAAAAUGGUUGUGUAAUUUGAAUUUACUCUGAUGUUGCAUAGUAUCCUAUUCAUGCACGUUCUCUUGUGCAGGGGCAAAAGAGGAUCUCCACUUUUGAUGGAUAGAGACGAUCCAAGGACAUCCACUGCUAAGGCAAUUCUUUUAUGGAGCGAUUCCCCUGAAUGAGUGCUUAAAACCAUGUUUUGAGUGCGAUAAAUUGUUUGCUUUGAAGUCACAAAAGUUUUUCAUGUUUAAAGUUGUUGGACUCUUUUGAAAAGAGAAAUUUCAUAUUGAUUUAGCUCACCAAUUUCAUGUGGAGAUUUGUCAAGAUAGACAAUUUAAAGGAGUGACAUCAAUGUUUAAGAAUGCUGAAUGAGACAUGUCAGGAUGAUGAAGGGCAAGCCUUAUCCUAUACACAGUCCCUUGCUUAUACACUUAUGAGAUGAGUGUAGAAAGUUCCAUAUUUGCAAGGUAAAGAGUUAUCUCGCAAAAGGUACGAUGACCAAAAUGAUGAGGGGCAGUUUAUUUCUCUAUCCCAAACACUACAGUUGAUAUAUUGCUUAACCCCUUUUGAGCCCCAUACACUUGUGGAGAUUUUUUUCAAAUUAUCCCUGUCAAAAACCACCCCACAUUGGGGCAAAUCAGAGGGUAAGGCAGUACCAUGAGGUGAAGAAAAUGGAUUGAAAUUUUCUUGCUCUCACUUGCAUCAAUCUUCUAGUCAUGCUAUUACAUUGAAUUCAUAUGGUAAUUUAAGUGCCUUAGAAUGACGAAGAGCAGUUCUUUCUCUAUCGUAUACACUUAUAACCUUUGCAUAGCCCACUUGAGCCUGCAAUUUAUUUUCUUUUAAACCCAGUUGGUAAUCAUCCCCCACACUGGGGCAAGGCAAGAGACAGAUGAAGACCUUUGAAAGUUUGAAUGUCAUUCAAAGUGUAAUUGCUUGACACAUGCAUAGAAAUCAAAAUAGAAUUAAGGGGUAUGAAAAAAGCAGUGUGCCUGGUAAAAGCAAGGCCAAUGGCCAUGAAAAAAAAAGUGACAAAAAAUGAAUAAGAACUAGGGGCAUGAAAAGCGGUGUGCCUAGUAAAAGCAAUGCCAAUGCCCAUAGAUGAAAAGAGAGUCAAGAUAAGGUGACUCUCAAUUGCAAGAAUUGAAUCCUGAUGGAGCAAUACUCAAAGAACUCGAAAGUUGAGUUUUUACAAUCAAUGGGGCAUUUCAUGAAGACAAUCCCUGAUGAUGAAAAAGAAAACUGGUGGCAAUGCCAAGAUGAUCAUCAACUUUCACCAUUUACACACAUUUUGAGCCUAAUGAUCCUUUCAUUUCUCAACCCAUGAACCCAGCUUACGUUACGUCCUUUACAAAGCCUCUUCAGAUUAUGGCACUUGAAUUAACAUAGGGGUUCACAUGUUUUAAGCAUCGCUCGAAGGAGUGCGAGCAAGAUUAUAUCUUUCUCAUUUUGCAGGGUUCUUGACUUGUAAACCCGGAGAUGAUUACAAAAUUGGUCUUUCAAUUGCCUUGACUCAAAGAGUCCCUUUGUUAAACCAUUGACCAAGCCCACAUUACGGUCCUUAUUAAAGACCUCUCAGAUUGGUAAGGUUGUACUGCUUGCGAGAAUACUCGGACCCUUGUUGGUAUGAUGAUAAUGAGAUGGAGUGAUUCUCACAAAAUAGCCUCUAAAUGAGAGUGAGUGAAAGUCCUUUCUAACUAAAGGUCUCUCAUUUGGUAUUCUUAGGAAAUCCAUGUCAUGAGUGAAGAUUGUCUUGAAUGAUAAUUCUCUCCAGUGGAAAUUUGGGUGAUGCAAAGGACCCCGAUUGAGUUGAUGAAAACCUCACUAAAUUUUGAAAUAUGCAUUCUAGAGUAGCUCAGAUUGUCUAUCUCUUUGAUGAAUGCAUAUCAGUUUUUGCUUUAAAUCAUGUCUGACAGGUAAUUCAAGUUCCUUUCAGAAUGUUUCAUGAUAUUAGGAGAUGAGAAACCUCCACCAUAAGGUGAAAGACCUCCACAUGAUAUCUAAAUUCCAAAAGACAUUUUUCUCCAAUAAUCAGAGAUAUCACCAGGUAAGUAUAUCUCUACUGUACUCUAAAAUACUUGUCAUUGUGCAAGUAUUCUCUCUCAAGUGCAUCGACACUUGACUUGGUCAAGCUGUCCAGUUAUAUCGACCUGGCGUGCUUUCGUAGCCCAGAGCCCCCCUCUUUAUUGACCUGGCGUGCUUUCAUAGCCCAGAGUCUCUCUUUAUUGACCUGGCGUGCUUUUGUAGCCUGGUGUCCAUUUUAUCGACCUGACGUGCUUUCGUAGCCCAGAGUCCUUUUCACCGACACUUAAUGGAGUUGUCCCCCAAAGAUUCUUCCUCCAGAUUCAAUCUGAUUAAGGCGACCGAAGAAUGGUUCGGGUCCUGGUUGGAUGAUUUCUGUAGCAAGGCUGGGCGACCGAAGAAUGGUUCGGGUCCUAGCCAAGCAAAACCUCAGUCUAGGCAACCGUAGAAUAGUACGGGUCCUAGACAACAUUUAUUGCUCUAACAGGCGACAGUAGAAUGGUACGGGUCUUGGAAAAGCAAUUUCCUCGUCGAGGCGACUGUAGAAUGGUACGGGUCCUUGACAACACUUAUUCCUUAUUCAGGUGACCGUAGAAUGGUACGGGUCCUGGAAAGUGAAUCCCCGUUUAGGUGACCGUAGAAUGGUACGGGUCCUAGACAAAACCUUUCUGCCGUACUGGGCGACCGUAGAAUGGUACAGGUCCUGGGAAAGCAGUUCUUUACAAAACCUUUCUGCCGUAUUGGGCGACCGUAGAAUGGUACGGGUCCUGAGAAAGCAGCUCCUUUCUGCCAUACUGGGCGACCGUAGAAUGGUACGGGUCCUGGACAAGUAACACCCACUAUCUCGAAUUACUCUAUCAUCCUCGAAGGUAAGUUAUUCCAGGUAGGUUCAUAUAUCAUUUGUAUUAGUAUUUCCAUGCAUCAUAUAAAUUGCAUUAAAAAAUGAAAUUCAUUUUCCAACAAAAAAUCAUUCAUUGCAUGUGCAUAGUCAAAAUUUAGGUUUCAAUUUGUCUUUGAAUGCAACCUCUUCGAGCUCACCUUCAAAGAGGGGCAGCUGUUGACACCUAAAUUUUGGCGACCCGUUUAUUCAUUUAUCGCAUUAAAAAUUAGGGAUCAAUUUUAACCCCUAAAAAAAAUAUUAGUUAAUUAAUUAAUUGCAUAACAUAUAGUUUAGAAGCAUUUUACAUUAUUCUUUUAUCACUUUUGCAUUUGAUCAGCGGCGGAUGAACUUCACUUUUACGAGUUGACAAUUCGGUAUUUUCAGAAAUGAUUCAUAUUAUUCUUCAAAUAUUCGGUAAUUAUUUCAUAUAUUCACAUUAGGCGAUAUAUUACAGAAAAUUGGAAGUUUAAGCAUGAAAUAUCAAGAAGAAUAUCACACGUGGGGGUAUUUUGAGCGAUAUAUUCUAUGUCUCAAGACAAGAAAUUUUUCGUAAUCAAAAGAGAUUUUGUGCAUGAGUUGAGAAAGGAAGUGAAAUAAUCCACAAAAAUCAAAGUUAUUCACCUAUAUAAGAGCCGCGUACGGAGAAGAUGAAAGGAGGAAGCCACACUAUUGAUACAUACGGCCAUACAAAGGGGAGCUUCUCUAGGGUUCGUCGAGGAAAGAAACACAAAAAAAGUCACAAAAAAAAAAAGGGAAAGGAGAGAUUGGACGUGAGAACAGGGGGGGCACAAGAGAAAAAGUGCGCAGAGGAAAAGAGAGAAGGGACGUGCAGCAGAGGGGGAAAGAGAAAAAAAAGAAAAAGAAAUAACUGAAAAGACUUCUACUGUUCAUCUUCUCCGAGGGUUUUGCUGCACUGCCGGUCCCUGCAUCGCUGGUCUUCGAUCUGCACCACCUCCGCCGGAACCCUUUGCCGGAGUCCCAAACCGGUGGUCAAGAUUUUCUUUUAUUCAAAAAAGAAAAAAAGAAAAAGAAAAAAUCGAAUUAGGUAGAUUUGCUUUAUUUUAUUAGGCUGGAUUAUUUUAUCUUAUUUUAUUUUUAUAUCUUGGUUUCUUUGUUUGAAAUAUUUCUCUAUGCAUAAUUGGAAAUCUCAAUAUGUCACUUGAUUCGCAACCGCGCCUUGAUUUUUUAUUUCAUCUAUAAGGCUUUAGAUAAAAUAAUUAAUCGAGUGGGAUUAAAAUUGAUAUUUUGAUCUUUAAGGCUUAAGAUCAAUUUAUCGAUUUUACUAGCGAAAUAUUAUCCCUUGAUCUGAACGAUGUGUGAUAUUUUGAUGAUUUUGAAUAAGUUGUCUUGUCUUAAUUGCUUUCUUUAUCUUGAGAUAUGUUUGAGUUAGAAUAUUGCAUGUUUUAGGGUUUACAUGUUUAGAAUAUGAAUUUUAUUUCAAAUUUAAAAAAAUUCAAAAAAAAUCCAUUUAGGUUGCUAGAUUUUAAAUUGAGUUGCAUGUUUAAUUAUUUGGCAAUUAUAAAUUUCGAAAAUUAAUAAAACAAUAAAAAAUCAUCAUACACUUGUCAUGUAGAAUUAGGGCAUAUUUUGCAUGUCAUUGCAUAUUAGGGUUAAAUUGCACUUAGUUUAAUUUAGAUAAUUCUUUUUUUAUUAUUAUAAGUUUAGGCAUUUUUUAGAUAUAUUGCAUUUUAGGAUUAUUUAGGUUAAGAUAAUAUUUUAGUUUAAAUUAGGAUUUGGCCCAAUCUAAUUCCUAAUAUAAAUUAAAUAGGAUCUUAAUCUAGCUAGAUAAUUUUCACAUUUAACCUAAUUUCGAAUUUCAUGAAAAAUACAAAAAAAUGCCAUAGGUUGAAUUAGUUUUAUUAUUUAGGAUAAAAUGCAUUCUUUUAGGAAAAAGGAAAAAAUGUCAUAUGCACGUCAUUAAGGUUAGAAUCAUUGAGAUGCAUGUCAUUUAGUAUUUUUGCUAGGCCCAUUUAAUUAGAAAUUACAUGUCAUUAGAAUUAGGUCAUUUAGUUAAUAUUGCAUUGCAUAUUGCAUGAUUUUCAUUAAAAAAGUGAAAAAAAAAAAAGGAAUUGCGUGUUAAUUAGAAACCAUAUCUAGGGUUGUUGAUGUGGAUUUUAAUUUAACAUUGCAGAUGCUUUCGUUGCUUUGAGGUAAGUCCUGCAAUUUAUUUUCUGCUUUACUUGAGUAUUAAAUUGGUGGUUUGCGCACCUGCAUAAACACCUCACAUGUUAGGGAAUAGAUUUAAAAUCAAUCCAAACUACUUGCCAAACAUUUUUCAAAAUAAAAAGAAAGGUACCGAAAGGGCGUUAGAGAAUUUUAGUGUAACCAAGUCCCCGUACCCAUAGUCUCUAGUUCGUAGGAGUAAAAUAAUUCUCCCGUUAUUUUACUUGGGUUUUUAAUUGACCCACCAAAAAUAGAUUAGUGGCGACUCCUAAUUGAAAAUCAAUUGUAUGUUAAGAAUUUGAACCUAAGUCACGAAUUGGUAUGAGCUUGGGAGAGCCCGAGUUAAGUCUAGGCUUAACAAUCCAUUAGCCAAACCCUAGGUUAUUUAAACCCCGAAAAAAAUUGGUCGCGACAAUCAUGUACAUUUUUUUAUUUAUAUGAAUGGCAUAUCAUCAUAAAUGAAUUUAAAUGUUCUUAAACAGAGAUAGUGAAAAUCUCUCGUAACACUAUUCCUUAAUUUAUUUUUAUUUUAUUUUUCUGUUUUUAUAUUAUUUUCUUUAUUAUUUAUUUUUCCCCUUUCAUCAUUCUUUAAUAAAAUUUUAUCAAAUAGUAAACUAUAUUACCAUACCUAAAAUACAAAAAUACCUAAAAGAUAUAAUAAAUAUAAAUAUUUAAUUUAUAGAUUGAAUGUUUAUUAUAAGAUAGAAUUAUAGUUGAAUAUAUAAAUUAAAAUAGGAUUAAUAAAAAAUGAAUUUUUUUAUUUUUUAUUUUUUAUUUCUUAAAUUAUAAUUCAAUUAUUAUUUAUAUUGAAAUAUAAUUUCAAUUUUGUUAACUUAAUAAGUUUGUUAUUUAAGAAAAAUAAUUUUCCUAAUAUAGACAUUAGAAAUCCUAUCUACCUUUAUCCCACCUCCCCCAUGGGAUAAUUUUAUCCUGUCUAUAUCCCUUUAUAUCUGACUUUAUCCUGUCCUAAGCGAGCACCAAACGUAGGAUAGUCCUAUCCCGAAUUUUAUCCCGACUGCCAAACGCAGAUAUGUAAAGCCUUGGAUUUAACUUAUUAGAUAUUGUCCGCUUUGGUAUAUUCCAUAGUGAGUUUCACGAUUUUGUCCUUUGGUGUACAAGCGCUACUUUCCUAGGAAGUUACCUAUCUAGCUAGUGCUUUAGCUUGGAAUCACUAAAUUUGUCCUUAAUUCCAGCUUUCACAACUCUUAGGACUUGUCUUUAUAUAGGCUUGUUACAUGACUCUUACUCAUUAAUUUCUCAUAAAUAUAUCUAACAUUGCAUGGACGCUUGCAAGGACACUGGCAGACUAUGGUGUCACACCCCACAACCAAUAAGAGUGGGGGAUGACAUGGCUGUCAUUCCUCCUAAAGAACACAACCUCAAAGCUCCUAAAAUCCAACUCCAAAAAGUCUCAUCGUUGAUAUCGCUCUUGUACUACUCAUCGCUAACUGAAGAACCUAAAAAAAAAAAAUUGGAAGGUAGAGGGGUGAGCAAUCACAGCUCAACGAGUAGUGUAUCUCUUCUAAGCGGAUCAAGCACCCACUAUGCAUAUUAACAAAACCAAACAGUAACUAUUUUCACCCAAAUCCAGGAUAUAACAAACAUAUAAUAUAAGAAUAAGUUACACACGCUUCAACAUAACUAUAUUUAUAGCAAAAAUAAUCAUUUCAUAAUAACAUCAAAAAACAUCAAUUGUCUAAUCUGUUGAUCAAUCUCAUUAAUUCACAUGCCAAUAGUCCAUUCCCUUAAUUAAUCUUAUGCCACAUAUCAAUGAUCUAAUGAAAUUACAUGUUGAUGGUCCAUUCUAACGACUAAUUUCAAAUUACACAUCAAUGGUACAUUCCAUCUACCAAACUCAUAUCAUAUGUCAAUGGUCUACUCCAUUGACCAAUCCGUUACUCAAUAUCAAAUCAUGGUCACGAUACAACGCCUAGUGACGAGACGAUCAAGAUUCCCCCAUUGGCAAUGUCUUCACAUAUUAUUAACCGGUGAUUCGGCCCACAAGGAUAUUCUAAACUAGUAUGCACAUACCCACAAGACCCUCGCUAGGCUCACGACAAUAUUGAGCAUUAAUAUCAACCUGAACAACACCAUCCGUAAUUCACAAAAUCAAAUCCAUAAAUCACUUUAUAUAUCACCAAAAGAUUUAGCAACUCAACUCAUCCGCCAAAAAUACUUUUCAUAAAACAUUCUCAAAUAAUUUCAAAACCCGUAUCAUAAAGUGAGUGAGGAUUGCUUUAACAAGAAAAUUUUUCUGUUUUGAUUGUUGUUUUAUGAGCUUUAACAUUGGUAUCAAAGCGUUUGUGGGAUCUUAAGCGACUGUGAAGUGAGGAUAAGUGAGUGAGGAUUGCUUCCAAUCUGCAAAGAAAAAAGCUGAUGGAGGCAGGAUCGAGUGGAUUCUCUACAAUGGCUGCUCCAGUCUUUAUUGGGGAAAAUUAUCAGGCUUGGGCUGUCAAGAUGACGGCAUUCUUGGAGGGUCAUGAUUUAUGGGAGGCUGUGGAGAAUGAUUAUGAGGUUGUUCCACUUCCAGACAAUCCGACCUUGAAUUAAAUAAAGUACCAUAAAGAGAGAAUCACAAGGAAGGCCAAUGCAAAGUCUUGCCUGUAUGCUGCUAUUUCACCCAUUAUCUUCACAAGGAUCAUGAGAUGUGAUUCUGCAAAGGCAAUAUGGGAUUUCUUGAAGGAUGAAUACGAGGGAGAUGAGAAGAUAAGAGGCAUGAAGGUGCUGAAUCUCUUGAGGGAGUUUGAGAGACAGCAGAUGAAGAAUUUAGAGUCAGUGAAAGAGUACUUUGAUAGGUUGGUUAGGAUAGCUGAAAAAAAUUAGAGUUUUAGGGACUGACUUGAAGGAUGAAAGACUUGUUCAGAAGACCCUGGUGUCUCUUCCAGAGAAGUUCGAAGCCACCAUAGCGUCUCUAGAAAAUACAAGAGACUUAGCUGAUAUAAAACUUGCAGAAUUGUUAAAUGCUCUGCAAGCAUAGGAGCACAGAAGACUGAUGAGAAGAGAAGAGUUUGUAGAGAGUGCGUUGCAAGCUAAAGUGAAGUCAAAUGAUGGAGGCAAAGGGAAGAAAUGGAUUCAGUCCAGAGAAAAUGCUAGUGACUCCAAGUUUGUAGCAAAAGAAGGAAAUUCUAGUGGGUCUAGCAAAUGGAAGAUGAACAAAAAGUUUUGUCAAUACUGUGGUAGAACUAAUCAUAAGUUUUUUAGAUGUUGGAGAAAGCCUGAUGCUAGAUGCAGAAGAUGUCACAAGUUGGGUCACACGGAAGCCAUCUGCAAAGAAAAAAAUUACCAGCAAGCAGGAAAAGCACAGGUAGCAGUGAAUGAAACUGAGGAAUAGCACUUGUUUGUAGCUUCUUUUUUUAAUCUUCUGUUGGGAAUGAUGCAUGGCUGGUGGAUAGUGGUUGUACCGAUCAUAUGACUGGCAAUUUGAAGCUGUUUAGGAGUCUUGACAGGUCAGUCAGGUCUAGAGUCAGAAUUGGCAACGGACAGUAUAUCGAAGUGCAAGGGAAGGGUAUAGUGGCUAUUGAAGGAAAUCAGGAGGUGAAGCUGAUCAGUGAUGUUCUUUUUGUGCCAAACAUUGACUAGAAUCUGUUAAGUGUUGGUCAAUUAGUUGAGAAGGGCUAUAAAGUGAAGUUCGAAGGGAAUGAAUGUCUUAUCAAUAAUGCAGAUAGCAAAGAAGUGCUAAGAAUCCCAAUGAGGAACAAGAGUUUCAUGUUCAAGCCACAAAAGAUGCAACAAAUGGCUUUAAAGUGCAAAGAAGAAAAUGCAGAGCUAUGGCAUAAAAGACUUGGGCAUGUUCAUAGGAAGAGCAUGUCGUUUAUGCAGAGAAAUAGCUUGGCAGAUGACUUGCCAAGUUUGGAGGAGGAAUUUCCACAGUGCAGAAUUUGUCUUCUUGCAAAGCAAGCCAUAUUUCCUUUCAAAGGAGGAGGCUAGAGAGCAUGUAAGAAGCUGCAAUUAGUCCACACAAAUCUAUGUGGACCUAUGUCUGAGUCUUCUCUCAAUGGUAGCAGGUAUUUCAUUACCUUCACUGAUGAUAUGACUAGAAUGAGUUGGAUUUAUUUUCUGCAAGCCAAGUCUGAAGUUGCUGAUGUGUUUGUGAAGUUUAAAGCCUUAGUUGAAAAUCAGAGUGGGAAGAAAAUUAAAAUGCUCAGGUCUGAUAAUGGUUUUGAGUAUACUGCUCAUAAGUUUAAGUUGAAUUGUGAGCAAGCAGGAAUUGUGCAGCAGUUCACUGCUCCCUAUUCACCUCAAUAGAAUGGGGUUAGUGAGAGGAAAAACAGAAGCAUUAUGGAGAUGGCUAGAUGUAUGAUGCAGGAGAAGAAGUUCUGGGCUGAAGCAGCUAAUACUGUAGCGUUCUUGUUGAACAGAUUGCCCACAAAGGCCUUAAAGAUGUCAACACCUUUUGAAGUCUAGUAUGGUGUUAAACCUUAUGUGAAAAAUUUGAAGGUUUUUGGGUGUUUGUGUUACACUUAUGUUCCUGAGGUCAAGAGGGACAAGCUGGAUAAGAAAGCAGAGCUUGGAAUCUUCAUUGGGUACAGUCUCCAAUUAAAGGCUUAUAGAAUUUUUCACCCUAUGACAGGGAAGGUGACUGUAAGCAAAGAUGUUGUUUUUCCAGAGGAAGAUAAGUGGAAUUGGAUGGAAGGAAAGAGUGCAGAACAGCAGCAGUUCGAAAAAAAACCUGCAAUAGAUGUAGAGGUUGAUGAAGUUAUAGAUGGAUUGGAAGACAGUGUGGAUGAUUUACCAGUGAGAGGCACAAGGUCACUUGCUGGAAUCUAUGAAAGAAGCAAUGUGGCAAUGCUCGAACCAUCUAACUGUGUGGAAGCUAAGGAGGAUCAGAGGUGGAUUGCAACAAUGCAGGAGGAGAUUGCAAUGAUCUAGAAAAACCACACAUGGGAGCUUGUUGACAGACCAUCUGAUAAGAAUGUGAUUGGGGUUAAGUGGGUGUUUAGAAUAAAACUUAAUCCUGAUGGUUUUGUCAAUAAACACAAAGCUAGACUGGUGGUGAAAGGCUAUGCACAAAUAUGGGGAGUAGACUAUUCUGAAACAUUUGCUCCUGUUGCACGACUUGAUACAAUAAGAUUACUGUUAGCUAUUGCAGUAGAGAAGGGGUGGUCUAUAUUUCAGUUAGAUGUCAAGUCUGCAUUUAUAAAUGGAGAGCUUGAGGAGGGGAUUUUUGUUGAACAACCUAAAGGCUUCAGUAUCAAAUGGCAAGAAGAGAGUGAAUACAGGUUGAAGAAAACUCUAUAUGGACUGAAGCAGGCUCCAAGAGCUUGGUAUGGGAAGAUAGAUCAAUAUUUGCAUGAUUUUAGCUUUGUAAAAAGCUUAAGUGAGUUCACUCUUUAUGUCAAGAAGGUGAAUCACAAUGUUGUAAUUCUGUCACUUUAUGUAGAUGAUCUAUUAGUGACGGGGAAUGAUAUGGAAUUGAUAAAGAAGGUGAAGCAAGAUCUAUUUGCAGUUUUUGAGAUGUCGGACUUGGGAAAGAUGGCUUAUUUUUUGGGUCUGGAAGUCAAACAGGCUUCAUAUGAGAUCUUCAUCUGUCAGAAAAAAUACAUGAAAAAAUACAUGAAUGAAAUUCUAAAGAAGUUUCCGAUGGAAGAUUAUUGAAGUGUAAGCACUCCUAUGGCUGCUAAAGAGAAGCUGUAGAAGAAUGAUGGAAUAGAUGCAGUAGAUGCUUCUAUGUAUAGAAGUCUGAUUGGGUGUCUCAUGUAUCUUACAGCAACCAGACCAGAUAUUCUAUUUGCUGUGAGUGUUUUAUCCAGGUUUAUGAGUAAUCCUAGUCAGUUACAUUUGAUUAUAGCAAAAAGGGUCUUGAGAUAUCUCAAAGGAACAUUGUUCUUUGGUGUGAAGUUUAAGAAAGAUCAUAAGUUUAAUUUACUAGGAUUUUCUGAUAGUGACUAGGCUGGUUCAAUGGAUGACAUGAAAAGUACGUCUAGGUAUUGUUUUAGUCUUGGUUCUGUUUGUUUCUCCUGGUGUUCCAAAAAGCAAGAGAUUGUAGCUCAGUCCACAGCAGAGGCUGAGUUUAUAGCAGCUACUGCAGCUGCAAAUCAAGCUUUGUGGCUGAAGAAGAUAAUGAAAGAUCUGUGGUUGAAUUCUAGUAAUUGCAUUGAAGUUAAUGUGGAUAAUCAGGUUGCUUUAGCAAUAUCUCAUAAUCCAGUUUUCCAUGGCAAAACCAAGCAUUUCAAAGUCAAAUUUUUCUUUCUGUGUGAGGUGCAACAAAGUGGCGAAAUUAAAUUGAUCUAUUGCAGAUCUGAAGAUCAGCUUGCAGAUAUGUUCACAAAAUCACUUCAGGCUGGAAGAUUUGAGCUGUUAAGAGAGGAAAUAGAAAUCUGUAGCAGCAACUGAUCCAAGGAGGAGUUUGUUGGAAUUGUUCAGCUGCUGUUUUCUGUCAUGUUUUCCUUUGUUUUCCUCUGUUUUUUUUAUUAAAAAAGAGCCAAGUUCAUUUAGUUAUGCAUUUAGUGUUUUUGCUAUUUUCUAGGAAGUUAAUAGCACGUUUGUGUGCAGUUAUGUGUUGCACGUCGUGAGCAGUUUCUACUUUGUAUUUAGUUGUUGUACUCGACAGUUUUUUUUUUUUUUUCGCACAAGACGUAUGAAGUGCUAUGCUCUGUUUUUUUCUUUUCUUUUCUCUCUCUCAAACAACAAAAUUUUUCUGUUUUGAUUGUUGUUUUAUGAGCUUUAACAAUAUUUAAUGGUUAUUCAUGUUGUUUUCAUCCUCAAAAAUGUAUCGUUCCUUACUCGACCAUUUUCUUUGUCCUUGAUCGAAACAGCUUGGAAUUAUGGUACACUAGUGUCUUAGUCCUCUUGGCAGGAUACAUGACAAAUGCCACUGCUGCAAUAUCUGCCUUCUCGAUUUGGUAUGAUAGCAUCGAAUAAGGGGUCUUGUUUCUUCUACUUUGAGGUAAGCGGCCACGAAAGUGAUGAACCAAAUUUGAUUUUUUUUUUCAGCCUCAACAUCUCGGGUUGGGAGCUCACGAUAUGCCUUGGUUUCCUAAAUGGAGCUAGGUAUGGCUUAUGAUGAGCCUGUGCAAAUUUUUGAAUUGCUCUGUGCUUGCUUGACGCUUUGUGACUCGAUCCUUGCAAUUCCUACAGUGUAAGGGUUUCCAAUGAAUUGGGGCGAGGAAAUGCUGAAGCAGCAGUGUUCGCCAUUAAAGUCAUCUUGGGCACCUCAAUUAGCAUUGGAGUUGUCUUUUGGAUCUUGUGCCUAGUUUUCGGUCGACGGAUUGCCUACAUAUUCACUAGCGAGGAAGAUGUCGCGGAAGAGGUUUCAAGCCUCUCAGUUCUCCUUGCCUCCUCUAUUUUACUCAACAGUGUUCAGCCAGUGCUCUCAGGUAAGUAGUGGUUGUUCCACUUCUCAUGACGUGAAUGACAGAAUUAUUUACAGAUUCCUCCUUGCCGACCCAUCCGUUCAUCUCUUGCAGGUGCAGCGGUAGGUUCUGGGACACAAAGUGUGGUUGCCUAUGUUAACAUGUGUUCCUAUUAUGUGAUCGGAGUGCCUCUAGGAGUCGUGCUUGCGUACGUCACCAAGUUGGAAAUUCAGGUAAGAAGGCCUGAACCUGCCCCUGUCUUUCGCGGGGAACCUGACUGUCAUUUGUGUUACAUUUUUGGUUUGAUGGGGCGACACUUCACUAUUCAGAGAAUACUUAGCCAAGAUAAGCUAUUUCUUGGUUUCUGACCAUGCGGAAAUUCCUUGGUUUGACGCCCACAGGGUAUAUGGAUAGGAAUGAUAAUCGGAGUCGCAACUCAGACAGUGGUGCUCAGUUUCAUUACUUACAGAAUGAACUGGGACAAGCAGGUAAAUGCAAGUUUUGGAGCACAUCAGUCACAUGCCUUCACAUGAUAUAUGCUGCAAGAGUUUGAAUUAGCUGGAAAUAUCAGCAAGAUAUCAAGAUUCUAUUUGUUUUAGUCUCCUUUUCGUGAUGAAAGAGUUUUAAAAGCCAAUUACCAUAUUGCUUUCAUUAUAUAGGUGAACAAAGCAACAGAAAAGCUCCAUAGGUUGUUCUUGGAAAGAUCCGAAGACCAUGGUGAGAGCUCUACCACUCUGAACAGCUGAACGGAUGAGUUAAAACUGAAGAGCAUAUGGUUUCAUCCCAGUUUAGGUUUUCGGAUGAGAACAAGUUGCUUCUUCUUUCUCUCUUUUUUGACCUCUGUUAUGACAGCCAUUGAAUAAAUUGAUCCAAUCCCUAUCCGAUUGAUAAAGCUUUCCCACCCCAUUUUUCAGUGAUUGGAAAAAAUUCAUUGUUGAAGAUGGAAAACGUUCAUACUUCAGCCACCUUCAUCUAGUAGUUCUUGCUGUAACCAUUUUUGCACCUACUCGAAAGAAAGCACAUAUUGCAGGUCAUAAUGAUGAUGUAAGAAAGGUCUAGCCCAUCCAACAGCAAAUGAACAUUUGCAGAAUCUUAUAACAGGUUUGACAAAUUAUGACAAUGUAAAGAACAUCCCUCUAGCUCCGAUAGAGGAGUCAUCUAGGAGCGAAGGCAGUCCCAAUAUAAAACGAUAUGCUAGAUGAUUUGAUAGACAAACGGAAGUUUCACAUUUUCUCAGUAUUCUACAGCAAGCACGAUAUUCAUGCAGAGUAAGCGAAGAAGAUGCCGAACAUGAGAUGGGAUCAUUCAAAACUAUAUAUAUAUACAAUCAGUUAUAAAUGACAACUUUGGUAGUUGGUAUGCAAGUAAGUCCCUGAUGCUCGGAACAUCUUCAAGAGAGAGCUCACGCCCCAGCUGCAUUCUUGUUGAUUUCAAGGCAUCCUGGCAAGAAAAGAUAAAUAAAGAGAAGUGUUUGAAGAUGUUUCAAUAAAAGACAGAGGAAAGUUUCAACAGUACCUCAUAAUAGUAACUAGGCCGACAAACAUAAGGAACUUAUCUUUGGUAACUUACAAUAAAUUCCACAUAUGACUACACAAUAAAGACUACUCAAAGCCAUUUUCUCUUCUUUAACCGGUCCAAGAACCUGACCUACUUUACACUCUAUAUGUAAAGCCUCGGAUUUAACUUAUUAGAUAUUGUCCGCUUUGGUAUAUUCCAUAGUGAGUUUCACGAUUUUGUUCUUCGGUGUACAAGCGGCUACUUCCCCGGGAAGUUACCUAUCUUGCUAGUGCUUUAGCCUGGAAUCGCUAAAUUUGUCCUUAAAUCCAGCUUUCGCAACUCUUAGGACUUGUCUUUAUAGAGGCUUGUUACAUGACUCUUACUCAUAAAUUUCUCAUAAAUAUAUCUAACAUUGCAUGGAUGCUCGCAAGGACACUGGCAGACUAUGGUGUCACACCCCAAAAUCAAUAAGAGUGGCGGAUGACAUGACCAUUUUUCCUCCUAAAGAACGCAACCUCAAAACUCCUAAAAUCCUACUCCAAAAAUUGAAAGAUAGAGGAGUGAGCAGCCACAGCUCAACGAGUAGUGCAUCUCUUCUAAGCGGAUCAAGCAUCCAUUAUGCAUAUUUACAAAACCAAAUUGCAACUCUUUUCACCCAAAUUCAAGAUAUUAAAAACACACAGCAAAAAAAUAAGUUACACACGCUUCAAUAUAGCUAUAUUUAUAACAAAAAAAAUCAUUUCAUAAUAACAUCAAAAUAAACAUCAAUGGUCUAAUCCAUUGAUCAAUCUCAUUAAUUCACACACUAAUAGUCCAUUCAAUUAAUUAAUCUUAUGCCACAUAUCAAUGAUCUAAUGAAAUUACACGUCAAUGGUCAAUUCCAACGAUUAAUCUCAAAUUAUACAUCGAUGGUACAUUCCAUCUACCAAACUCAUAUCAUAUGUCAAUGGUCUGCUCCAUUGACCAAUCCGUUACUCAAUAUCAAAUCAUGGUCACGAUACAACUCCUAGUGACGAGGCGACCAAGAUUCCCCCAUUGGCAAUGUCUCCACCUAUUAUUAACCGGUAGUUUGGCCCACAAGGAUAUCCUAGACUAGUAUACGCAUACACACAAGCCCUUUGCUAGGCUUACAACAAUAUUGAGCAUCAAUAUCAAUCCCAAACAACACCAUCCACAAUUCACAAAAUCAAAUCCAUAAAUCAUUUUAUAUAUCACCAAAAGAUUUAGCAACUUAACUCAUCCACCAAAAAUACUUUUCAUAAAACAUCUCAAAUAAUUUCAAAACUCGCAUCAUAAAUCAAUUUUACCAAUCGAAUCAAAUCAAAUACAUUUCAAAAAACUUAUCACAAAUCGAGAUCUAUAUAACAUUCCAUAAACCAUUUCAAAGUCGAGAUUUUCGUAAAAAGGUUUCACAAACCCAAAACAUGUAAUAUUUCUCAACUUCAUUCAUCAAACGAAAUAUAUAUUUCCACAAAAAAGUUCUGACACUACUCAAAUACCAAAACGUAGUAUAUGCCCGAUCCAAAUUUUAUGCAACAAACAUGUUUAUUCAUAACUCAUAAAAUAUCAAAUCUUUAUAGUUUUGAAAACAUAAGUUUAUAUCUUACGAUUAAAUUACAAGCGUUACUUGAAUCGUCAAACUCGCAAUCCUAUCACAUAAAUGAUAAACAACGUUAAAAUCGAGUGAAACAAUACCUCAACUAUGACUUGAUCAAACUAAGCAUGAGCACUUAGAAAAUGACUCCUAUGUGCCAAUAAAUCGCUAAACCAAAUCAAUUACUCGAAGCUGUCCAUAGCGCGAAACUUGAGCAUGAAACUUUAUCAUGCCAUAAUUUUCUCCACCAAACUCCGUUUCAAGCUAACUUAUAGUCAAUGGAAAGCCCAACCAACGUACUACAAGAACCCCAAUUUAACAAACCCAAAAUCAAGCUGAAAAUUAACAAAAAAAAAUACGGCCCGAAGUCCUGGUUGCGCACUGUACAUCAUGCACGAUAAACUUCAAAAUUUUGUUUUGGGCAAAUUGUAAACUCAAAUCAUAAUCCAUAAAAUCCUAAAGCUUCAUAACAUCCUAAAUUAUCAUUUCUACAAAAAUACGUAGCUCAACCACUCAAAAAUCAUACUUCGCCACUUGAUUUUCACAAAAUUUCAAAUUUCAAACCUAGGUCCGAAAUUACUCCGAUUGAAUGAACAGGCGACAUGAGUGCUUACCAGGAAUUACCUUACAUAGUUAAGGUGGCUUGGCGAGGUUGCCAUGAUGAAAACGCACAAACCCCUUUUCUUCUUCUUCUUCCUCUCUUCCUCUUUCUUUCUUUGAGCGCAAGCUCGCUGCUCUCCCUUUCUCUCUCUCCUCCUUUUUCUUUCUCUGUUUCCUUUUAUCUCC
rnacentral:lncRNA from 1 species